AACGAACGCUGGCGGCAUGCCUAACACAUGCAAGUCGAACGGGACCUGCCCUUCUAGUGGCGCCCAGGGGCGUAACGCGGGGGAAUAUGCCCUUAGGUUCGGAAUAGCUCCGCGUAACGGGGCCUAAUCCCGGAUAAUGUCGCCGGAGCAAAGAGUUAACGCGGUUGGAUGGGCCCGCGUUGGAUUAGCUGGUUGGUAGGGUAAAAGCCUACCAAGGCGAUGAUCCAUAGCUGGUCUGAGAGGAUGAUCAGCCACACCGGGACUGGGACACGGCCCAGACUCUUACGGGAGGGAGCAGUGGCGGAUACAGGAAUGCGGGGGGAAGGCUGAACCAGCAAUGGUGGUAGAGUGAUGAAGGCCGUAGGGAAGUAAAUCCCUUUUACCCGGGAUGAUAAUGACAGUACCGGAAGAAUAAGCUCCGGCUAACUCCGUG
rnacentral:rRNA from 1 species